rnacentral:rRNA from 1 species
UACGAAGGGUGCAAGCGUUAUUCGGAAUUACUGGGCGUAAAGCGUGCGUAGGCGGUGAGUUAAGUCUGAUGUGAAAUCCCCGGGCUCAACCUGGGAAUGGCAUUGGAUACUGGCUCGCUAGAGUGCGGUAGAGGGUGGUGGAAUUCCCGGUGUAGCAGUGAAAUGCGUAGAGAUCGGGAGGAACAUCUGUGGCGAAGGCGGCCACCUGGACCAACACUGACACUGAGGCACGAAAGCGUGGGGAGCAAACAGG